AGAGUUUGAUCAUGGCUCAGGAUGAACGCUAGCUACAGGCUUAACACAUGCAAGUCGAGGGGCAUCAGUUUGGUUUGCUUGCAAACCAAAGCUGGCGACCGGCGCACGGGUGAGUAACACGUAUCCAACCUGCCUCAUACUCGGGGAUAGCCUUUCGAAAGAAAGAUUAAUAUCCGAUAGCAUAUAUUUCCCGCAUGGGUUUUAUAUUAAAGAAAUUCGGUAUGAGAUGGGGAUGCGUUCCAUUAGUUGUUGGCGGGGUAACGGCCACCAAGACUACGAUGGAUAGGGGUUCUGAGAGGAAGGUCCCCCANAUUGGAACUGAGACACGGUCCAAACUCCGUACGGGAGCA
rnacentral:rRNA from 1 species